GCCAUAGGGGACCCCCAAGUCAUGUUCUAUAUAUCUCAUUGUAAUUCAAUCCUGACCGGUCAUGAUUACAAUCCUGGCCAAGUCAGGAUUUCAAACCUGACCUGGCCAUGAUUUUCAAUCCUGACCAUCCAAUCUUGACCGGUCAGGUCAUGAUUAUAACAUGGCCACCCAAACCUGGUCGGUCAUGAUUUCAAACAUAACCAAGCCAGGAUUGAUAACCUGGCCAUCCAAUCCUGGUCAUGAUUAUCAAUCCUGGCCAAGUCAGGAUGACCUGACCAUUCAAUCCUGGUCGGUCAUGAUUUCAAACAUGGCCAAGUCAGGAUUGAUAACCUGGUCGGUCAUGAUUUUCAAUCCUGGCAAAGUCAGGAUUGCAUUGCGCCAGGAUAUAUGACUUCCAAACGCAGUCAAGAUUUCUCAAGCGUCGCCAAGAUUGCCCUGGCCAAGUUGCAUGUUCGAAUGAUUCAAACAAAAAAAAAAACGCUGUCAAGAUUUCCCAAGCGUCGCCAAGAUUUAUUACCCAAGAUUUUCGCUGAUGAAGAUUUAUUAGGCCAAGAUUUUCAAGGACUUAGAUUACAUCAUUCUAUCUGCACAUGCUGCAUGCCGCUGACGACUCAGAAGUUAUUGUGAUAACAAGGUGGGUGGUUUGUGUUUUUCGUUCAGUUAUAUAGAUCAAGUCAUUAUGUUUCUACAUCGCUUUCGCCUUAAAUGUAUUUAAUUAAUCAUUACGCUACUCUCUAUAAUUAAUGUAUGUGUGCCUAUCGAGGAAAUUCGAGUCAAAACCAAAUUCGCUCAUCUCAUAUUUUAUAUGUUGACAGUGCUACCGUUUGAGCGAGCGCAGCUUCUUGUAUGUACAUAUUUUGUAAUGUUCAUCCUUUGAUCAGGUUCAAUUUAAACAAUAUCUAUUUGCCAAAUACUCAUGACAUGAAUUUUCUCUCGGGGUUUUAUAUAAAAAAAUCAUUAAAACAUGUAUGUACAUGAAUGUGACUGAAAUAUUUUUAUGCUAUAUAUACAUUUUAUUUCUACUGCCUUCACUAUGACUUGCUUAACCUUUGAUGCACGACACUGCUCUGGACUGUAUGCUCUCAGCAGUCUACUGCCUCUAUACGUAUUUCUUUUUUUUUUAUUCUCAAUCUUUUCAAGUUACGAAUUGUAUGAUAAAAAUGCCCAAACCUUUCAAGUUUGUAAAAUUGGGUUUAAACAGCACUGCCUUUGAAUAUAAAAUGCAUUUCAAUAUAAUGAUAAUUUAAACCCCCCCACCACCACCACCACCACCACCAUGCGCACCUAUCUGAUUUUUAAAAAAUAUGAAAUUCAUAUGAUAAUCUCCUUGUAGCAAUGGUAUGUUCCAAAAGAGAAAAUUAGAACAAUAUUAAUUUAUAAUGAAGCAAUCUUCUUAGGGUUUUUGUUACUGAUCCCUGCUUCACACCAAAGCACGUAGCGGGAAAAACUAUACAGAAUAAAAUUAUUUCUAAUAAUCCUUAAGCGGUAAAGAAAUUGAUAAUUUACAAUCAUUUAUUACAUUUAACUUUAUAAGCUUUCAUCAAAAAUAAAUAAAAACCUCAUACAUGUAUAGACAUAUAAUUUACCCAUCAAUGCAGCCACUGAUGUGUAUUCCAAAGGGACUCAACUUGUCAUACUGGUCUAGAAAAUAAUGAAGGUCCUGAAUGCAACAAUAUUAAUAUGAUACAAAAUAUUUGUCAGACGAGUCAGAUUGCAUGCUCAAUCUUAAUUUUGAUACUUGUAUAUAUAUUUGAUAAAUAAUUUUUUUUGGUUUCAGUUAAAUCCUUAUAUUCCCUGUCUAACUCUUAAUCUCAGAGCAGCCUUUACCUGGUCAUAAUUUGAAGAAAACUUCUGUAUAUCACAUGGACUAAGACUUCUUGCCCAUUGACAUGACUGAUUUAUUUAACCUUUAAACGUAUCCCCAGGUCAGGAUUUGAAUUAGCUUAAAUCUACCAUUAAAGUCAUAUACUAGAUAAAGAUAAAAAUUAAUACAUGUACUUGCAUAGUAAUAUUGAGCGGACAGUAUAUUCUUAUGUCCAGUUUGACCCUUGACCUUUGACCAUGUGACGUCAAAAUCAAUAGGGGUUAUCUUCUUCUAAAGAUAUACCAGUGUACCAAGUUUGAUGACUGUCAAGCAAAGGGUUCUCUAGACAUUGAGCGGACAGUAUAUUCCUAUGUCCAGAGUAGAUUGACCCUUAAACUUUGACCUGAAUAGGGGUUCUCUUCUAUACUCAUAACCAACCCACAUAUUAAAUAUUAUGAUCAAGUGAAUGGUUCUCAAGAUAUUAACCGGACAACAUGUGGUCUACCAACCAGCCAACAGGUGCAAAGUAAUAUGCCUCUCUUCUUUGAGGGGGGAGGGGUGGGGGGGGGGCAUAAAAAUGCACUACCCAAAUGGUACCAAAUAUUUUUUUCUUAUUAGAAAAUGCAUUAUAUUUGUGAAAAAUGAAAACAUAUAUUACCUACGUACAAUGUAUCCAUAUAUAACUCUUAAUCUAAAGAACAUGUCUGAUAUGCUUCUGUCUGGUUUCAGAUGCAUUUCAAGCUGAAAUAAAUAUAUAUAAAUAAAUAGCUAUAAAUCUAACUGCUUAAAAAAUCUGAAUUUGAGAAACUUUCAUAAUCAUAAAUUAUUACAAUGCUUUCAAAUUAUAUCUUGAUAGACUAGUGCACUUACAGAAUUAAUCUGAAAACUAUGUAAACUGAUCUUAAUUAUCAUGAUUUAAUUUCUACAUGCUCUGAGAAAUUUCAAAAACAAUGAAGAAUGAUAUUUGAUAACUCGUACAGUCAGGGUCAUUCAAUAAUACUGGACAUUCAUUUCUAGUCUGUGACUGGAUCUAGCCAAGAAAUAGUCAAAAUAAUUCUUCCAUAACAUUGAAGGUCCAAAGUUUUUAGCUCACCUGAACCGAAGGUUCAAGUGAGCUAUUCUGAUCACAUUUUGUCCGGCGUCCGUCUGUCUGUCCGUCUGUCUGUAAACUUUUCACAUUUUCGACUUCUUCUCCAGAACCACGGGGCCAAUUUCAACCUAACUUGGCCAAAAGCAUCCUUGGGUGAAGGGCUUUCAAGUUUGUUCAAAUGAAGGGCCAUGUUCCUUUCAAAGGGGAGAUAAUCACAAAAAUGCAAAAAUAGGGUGGGGUCAUUUAAAAAUCUUGUUCUCAAGAACCACUGGGCCAGAAGAGCCGAAAUUUACCUGAAAGCUUCCUGACAUAUUGCAGAUUCAAGUUUGUUCAAAUCAUGGCCCCCGGUGUUAGAAUGGGGCCACAAGGGGGGAUCAAAGUUUUACAUACAAAUAUAUAGGGAAAAACGUUAAAAAUCUUCUUCUCAAGAACCACUAAGCCAGAAAAGCUGAGAUUUACAUGAAAGCUUCCUGACAUAAUGCAGAUUCAAGUUUGUUCAAAUCAUGGGCCCCUGGUGUUGGAUGGGGCCACAAUAGGGGAUCAAAGUUUUACAUACAAAUAUAUAGGAAAAAUCUUUAAAAAUCUUCUUCUCAAGAACCACUAAGCCAGAAAAGCUGAUUUUUACAUGAAAACUUUCUGACAUAGUGCAGAUUCAAGUUUGUUCAAAUCAUGGCCCCCGGGGAUAAGAUGGGGCCCCAAGGGGGGGAUCAAAGUUUUACACACAAAUAUAUAGGGAAAAACGUUAAAAAUCUUCUUCUCAAGAACCACUAAGCCAGAAAAGCUGAGAUUUACAUGAAAGCUUCCUGACAUAAUGCAGAUUCAAGUUUGUUCAAAUCAUGGGCCCCUGGUGUUGGAUGGGGCCACAAUAGGGGAUCAAAGUUUUACAUACAAAUAUAUAGGAAAAAUCUUUAAAAAUCUUCUUCUCAAGAACCACUAAGCCAGAAAAGCUGAUUUUUACAUGAAAACUUUCUGACAUAGUGCAGAUUCAAGUUUGUUCAAAUCAUGGUCCCCGGGGGGUAGGAUGGGGCCACAAGUGGGGGGGGUCAAAGUUUUACAUACAAAUGUAGAAAAAAGCUUUAAAAGAACCAUUGGGCCAAAGAAGUUGACAUUUACAUGAAAGCUUUCUGACAUAGUGUAGAUUCAAGUUUGCAAAGGGUAGUUUGGGCCAUAAUAGGGACCAAGGUUUUACAUGCAAAUAUAUAUGGAAAGUCUUCAGAUAUGGGCCAAGGUGACUCAGGUGAGCGAUGUGGCCCAUGGGCCUCUUGUUGUUAAGGUCACUUAAUUGCUAUCUGUUUUUGUCUGUCGCUGUGCAUAUGUGCAGGUGUGUGUCAUUUGUAAACUUCUCACAUUUUCAAUUCAUUCUCAAGAACCGCUGAUUAAAAGCUGAUUUCAAUUACACUUGCCACAAAGUAUCCUUAGGUGAGGGGAAUUCUUUUUUUUUCAAAUGAAGGGUAGUGCCCCCUUCCAAGGAGAGAUAAUCAAGAAAAGGUAAUGUCAUUAAAAAAAUCCCUUCUCAAGAAGAGUUGAAUCUUAUCUGAAAGCCUCCUGACAUAGUGUAAAUUCUUUUCUUUUUUAAAUCAUGGCCCCUGGGGGUAGGGUGGGGCCACAGAAGUGGAUCAAAGUUUGACAUAGGAAUAUAUAGGAAGAAAUCUUAUAAGAUCUUCUCAAGAAGGCCAUGGCUGGCCAUAUUAAAAUUGGGAGCAUCCUUAAAUUGUUCCGAUUCCAGUUUGUUCAAAUCAAAACCCCCAGAAGUACGAUGGUUGAAAUAUUACAUACGUAAGUUUUUAAAAAAAAAAAUUGGCUAUAUAUCACAAUUAUUAGCUAUAUCGAAUCUGUUAUAACAAUGCAAGCAUGACUCCUAUUAUAUCAUCUGUAUAGUUCAUUUAUUUGAGCAUUAUAACCUGUGUGAUUGAUUUUCUAUUUUGAGGUAUGAAGUUGAUGAGUUCAAAUUAAAAUACAGCAUCUGUGGACUGUGGAGCUAAGAGAUUUUAAUAUUUUCCUGCACAUUUUCAGACUCUAGUUCAGUAUUGUUACAUGCAAAUUAUCAGGACAGAAUUGGAGGAAGUGAAAUUUGCUUGGAAUAACCAUCGGAUCAGGAAGCAAAAAAUGGGAGAUGUUGUUCCUGGGAUUCCAGAAUUCCUUUAUCAUGUUCCAGAAAUGUUAGGUAUUCCAAUUGUGAAUGACGAAAAGUUUAAGUUCCUAAAGGACCAGUGCUGUUUUAAAAAUGACUUGGAUAAGGACAUUCAAGAAUCUCUUGAUGUUAUAUGCGACCAUCACCGGCCUUCAUCAGUAUCUGAAGGCAAAGCAAUGUACAUUUCACUGAAAGAUAUAUUGGAACAGUAUAUUUAUCAGUAAUUUAUGAUGUUUUGGACUUUAUGGCAAUUCUGACAAGUUCAAGAUCACCGACAGAAUUUUUCAAAAAUAAAAUCCAGUUAAUGAAUCUAGAAUGGAUAAAUAUUGGAAUUUGAUACUUCAAGCAAAGAUUAAUAUGAGCUAAAGAUAUUUUUUCGUUUUAACUUUGUCUGAAGGUAAUUCGGACAAGUUAAGGUCUUAAGGCAAAAAGUGUUAAUUUCAUGUCAGUCCCAUAACUUUGUAUAGGGGAUACUCUGCAAGUUUAUAUUGCAUAUAAGAUUACUUAUGACCAGAGAGUGUCUCAUUAUUUAUUUUUUUGUAACCAGGGUGAUUUUGGCAAGUUUGUGGUCACUUGUAGAAGUUUGUGAGCUCACAGUGCCUUUAGUUUUUUGUUUUCUUAUUAUUGUUAUAUGACCUCCUGGUCUUUUAUGUUUCCACUGUUGGAUGGUUAUUCUAUGCAAAUUUCACUUCUUCCCAUACUUUUUGCCAUACUCUAUUUAUGUGUCUUAAGUUUUGUAGACAAUUUUUGUAUUUCUUUUUUGUCAGCUUUUCAAUAAUUUGACCUUUCAUUAUGACCAUCUAUGAAAGAAAUUAUGUAUAUUAUGGAACAGUCUGUGCGAAAAGGUAAACCCGACGAUUGCCUCCAAGUGAUCACUGUAAUUGAAACUUUGUGUAAAAACAAAUUUUCGUAUUCUUAAGAGUGAUUUUCUUCAGAGAAAGUUUAUUUGGAGAUUUUAGAUUCUUUAUGGUGAUCCCCCCCCCCUUCCCCCGAGAAUUCUAUUGUUGAUAUACUUUAAAUUAUUAGUAGGAAACCGAUGAGUGAUAGCCUACCUCAUAUGACGUAUUAUGGUAUGGCGUCGUCCGUCUGUCUGUCCGGACCUUGUGGGCAGGAUACAGACUGAACCAUAAGCCCUAGGACUUUACAACUUGGUACAUUUGAUCACCAUGAUGAGAGGAAGAUGCCUAUUGUUUUUCAAGGUCAAAGGUCAAGGUUGUAGUAUCACUUAUUAGGAAAACCUUGUGGGCAGGAUACAAACAGAACCGUAAGCUCCAGGAUAUUAUAACUUGGUAUAUUUGAUCACCAUGAUGAGAGGAAGAUGCCUAUUUUUUUCAAGGUCAAGGUAAUAGGUUUACUUAGUAGGAAAACCUUGUAGGUAUACAGACCGAACCGUUGGGGCUAGGAGUGUCAAAUUUAAUAUGCAUAUACCUUAUUCCAAGUGGAGGAAGCCUAUUGUUUCUCAAGGUCAAAGGUCAAGGUGGUUGUAGCAGGAUACAAAUAAAACUGUUGUGGCUAGGAAUGCCAAUACUUUUCUUUUUCAAGUUUAAAAGGUCAAGACUGUUAGAUGGCAUGCUUCACUUGAUAAUUUGGUGCCAAGUAUAGCUUGUGAACUUCCAAGUUAUACUUUAUUUCUAUAUAAUUUGAGAUUCUCCUGCAAAAAAAAAUGGUGAUCUGCCUCUACAAAAAUAGUUAUGUUCAAUAUUUUUGACCAUUUCAAACUGAAACUAAUUACUGAAAUAAACACAUGAAAUCAAAUUGUAUUGCAUUUCAGUAUACUGUACCUGUACUUAUACUUUAGCACUAACUGUUUCAAGCAAAGGUGUGUGGUAUAUUAGCAUAUUUAUGAAGUAGCGCAUUCUAAGGCUAUCCCUCUUUAUAUCUUGAUAUCCAUUUCUACAAGCAUAAUAAUGAAUUAGCUCAAAGAGGACAGUGCUAACUUCACUAAAAUAUGAAUCCCACUAAAAUAUGUUUUCCUUGAGCAAAAUCUACGGGCGUAUUAUGCCACGUUGGCGUUGCUCUUGUUAUACCAUCUUGACCUGUCACUUAGUCAUCUUGAGUUGUUCCCCUUUGAUUGUGCUAUGAUUUUUAUGUCGAUCUAGUAUAUCUGGUUGUUGUGACAAUAAUAAAUUCUUGUCUUGUUAUAUGCAAGUCCUCAGUCAAGUUGUAUAACAUUUUGCUUGUUUAUUUAUUGAUUCAAAUGAAUAAAUGUAUUAAUUUUA